AACAUUCUAAUGUCCUGACUGCCUGAGAUGCCUGAUUGCAGGACUCUAAGACUCCAGCACCUGGUUUCUAUGCCCCUGAGAGCCUAAUGGUCAGUGGGCUUGAGUCUCUGUGAUGCCAGAAAACCUGCAGGGUCAGAAUCAUUACUCCAUUUUACGGAUGCCGGAUGUCUUCUCAGCCUAAUCCUCCCAUCCAAUCCUCUGGGAAGCCUUUCAGGAUGCCCCACCCUGACUUAUCGCUGCCUUCUCUGAACUGCCAGCAAUGAUGAGGGAACAAAGGUGGCAGAACUUGCACAAUCCUGCAGCUAAGAAGUAGAGGAGCAGAGAUCUGAACCAAGAGACAGUCCUCAAGGCUUGUGCUCCCAAGCACGUCCCUCCACUACCUCCCUUCACGAUACUCAGUGGCACGGGUUAGGACGCCAGGCAUGGAUGACGUGCCCACUGACCUCAGGCCUUGAAUAACAAGGAUUUCACUGCACUUAGAAGUAGGGGUAGGGCACAGCCAAGCAGAGAAGGACACCAGGAGCACUCUGUGGACUCAAUCCUCCCCAGGCCCAAGAGAGCUGAGGCACGUUCUUCUCUGGCCCCUCAUGGCAGCUACAGCUUGAAGGGACUCAAGAUAAUCUGCAACCAACUUCCUCACUAGGGGUCUCUUUUGUUCACUGAACACCCCUUUCUCAAGCAAGGCUGGGUCCCUCAGCAGGCCCUGGUCAGGAGCACCAGGAGAGACCAAGAAGUUGCAAACUUACAAUAAUGCCUACACAUCAAGCCUGUUGGAGACACCUUCACGGAAGAAAGUGCUUCCUACAGUCUAGGCUCAAUUCCCCACUCCUCUCCUGCUCCACCACGGCCCAGGGCUUCCCCCCAGCCUGGCACUUCAUGCCUAGGCCACUCUGAACUCGUAUAGUGCUAAGUAAACAAAAUCCUGCUUGCCCUUACCUUGAGGUCUUUGCAAAUGCUCUUCCAUCUUCCUAGUGCUGUCCCUCAACUCAGCCUGAAGUGGCUCUUCCUUAUAAGGCCAGCCCCAAUGGCCCCUCCUCCUAAAUACCUUCCUGCGACAUUAACACAGGUAGGAAAGACUCGGAGCUUCCAUCCACGUGGUCACUGGCUCUGUCCAUCUGCCCCUAGGGGUGUCAUGUUUGGUAGGGCCAGUGAACGGCUGCUGAAUGAAUGAAUGAUGAGUCCUGAUCUCCCUCCUCUGUUCCCUCUUCCUGGAUGACUUCACUCACUCACCUAUGGGAGAGUCAGAGGCUGACAUUGCCUCUGCCUCCAAUUCCCCCUCUUGUCCUCUGAGACCUUCCCUUUCACACGUACAGCCCACUCUCAUAAAACCAAGAGACUCACAGCCCUUCUGCAUUGGUAGGACGUUCUUCCUGCUGUCUGUCCUCACUCCCUUAUUUGGCCACGCCUGCUUCUUUAUCAUUAUUUUUGGAGAGGAGUCAGGGCCUGCACCCAUCUCAGAUUUUUGUUAAUAAAGGCUGCGCAUUUCUCCC